GGCUACCUUCUGUGGCAGAUACGCUCGUACGAAGGGAACACCAUGAGACAGCAUUUGCAGGCGACCGGUCACGCCACCUAUGAACGCAGAAAACUGCUGGACGCCCCAAGGAGCAACCGGGCGGACACCAUCGAUGAAGAGAUGAUGCAAGGUGACGCACCGGCUGAACAACGGAAGCGGACCCUGCGCCUGGACAAGCGAGCCACGUGCAGCCCUCGGCCGGUGCCCGUGCGGG